CAUUGAAGCUUAAUAUGAUUUCAACUGCUACACAACACUGAGUCAUCUGGAAUGUUACUUAACGUCUGGUCUCAUCUCCAGAGAUAUUCUGUUCCCCACCUCAAAAUCUCUGCUAUCUAAAACUGACUUGUAUUCUCUCUUUCCCUGUUCUGUGGAAAGAAUGGAUCCUAACCUGUAGAGUGUUUCAUACUUUCAUUUACUUUUACCACUAUCAGGGUCAAUGUGUGAGAUUGGCCGGAUGCAAAAUAAAUAUACACUUAUUCCGUCACUUAACUGAAAACUCUCAAAAACGUUUUUUAAAUAUCCUUCUGCUUAAUGUUGUUAUGGUACUGUGGAAUGUGCAUUUUCUAAAUUGAUUUUUGUCCUGCCUUUUUUUUCUGACAGUAGAAAGUUUCUUCCAUUAAGCUUAACCAGUAAUGAGAGGUAAAACCCAGUGUGCUUGCCCAUUCCCCAAGAAAUGCUAAACCGCAUGUUUAACAGUUUACAAGAUGGUAUGGAUACAACUUUAAAGCAAGUGGGAACAUGCACUUAGAUGCACGCUUAUUUUUAACCCUAUCCUUCCAACCAUCGAAGGCUUUCCAAUUUAGUUUGUUUUUAUUGAUGAGAGCACUUUAAUUGAACAAUCUGCCUGCAAUAAGUUUUUUUUUACAUUUUGGAUUCGCACUUGAUUUAUUUUGCCCUCUAUUUGUGUAGAAUAAUAGGUAGGCAUGAAGCUGACACCCUUCUGCUGAAAGUCCAGUUAGUACUUUGCCCAUUUCCUAAUAAAUACACGUUUGGAAGUUUUAAUGUUAAUUACCAAAAUGAAGGGAGACAUAAAAUGCUGGAGUAACUCAGACAGUGUGACCUGCAAUUUUCAAUUUCAGCAUCUUAUUUUAAAGACUAUGUGACAAGUUUAUAGAGGUUGUAGAACCAGAUAUGAUAGUGACUUUUAAGAGGCAUUUAGACAGGAACAUGAGCUGGUAGGGAGUAGAUUUAUACAGACUACAUGCAGGCUGAUGGGGCGAUGUUGAUUGGCAUCACGGUUGGCACAUUGAUGGGCUGAAGCGCCUGUUCCUGCGCUGUACUGUUCUGUAUUCUAAAAUGGGUAAUAAUACUCAAAGGCAUUUGUGUGGCUUCACUGGAAUGAGUGCACAAGCAUCUUCAGGUCCUCUGUGUCAUUUUAACACCAACUACAUAUUGUAGCUUUAAUCUGACACAUUUGUAGUUGAACAGGAGUAUAAUGAUUGUUUUCAUCGCAAUCAUUUUCUUGUCUAUUACACAGAGGUGCUCUGUUUCCUUUUCAUGGCAGAAUCAUCUAAAACCUUUGAGAUAAAUGUGCACAUGCAAAAUGUCCAUCAAACAUGAAACUCAACAAUAACAAGUUGCCUGGAAGCUAGUGAAAACACAUUAUCUUCUAAUAUAUAUUUUUUGAUAAAACCUCCUCACAGCAGACAGUGUUGUACAUAAAGAGUGUAAACUCUGUCAUCAAGUGACAUAUAGCUAAUGUAUUCAUUUUCUUUCAUGUGUACCAGCAACAAAAAUACAAACACUAAAGGGCAAGAUAUUGCCCUUAACAAGAGCAAAAAAACUAACCGUGCAAGAUAUUGUGUUAUUGCUGGCAGUAGGCUUUAAUCAUGUCGCAACUUGGAAAAUCUCCUCAUGGCAAAGUGAUGAAUAGCUUUAGGUAUUGUUCACAAUAGUUACAGGUAAUUAAUGUUAUCAGUAAGAAUGAUAAAUUGGUAGUAUGUAAAAUGUAUACUUUGACUGUAUUGGUUGUGAUCUUCAUCCCAUGUGUAAUUAAGUCACACAAAGCGGGAAACCUGGGAAUCCAACUGUUCAUUUAAUUUAGUUGAGGUUCAAUCAGUACAAAAUUAAUGGCCAAAAUCAACUUUUUGGUUAGGAUUGAAGGAAGUUAUAGAACCUUUGCAACACAGGAGUCGAUUUAGUCCAUCAAAGGCAUAGCUGCUGCAAAUAGAGUAAUAUCAUACCCUGCCAAUUCCCAAGUCAAUCUGUAAAUCAUUCUCUCUGGUGUCCACUUCCUUUGGGAAGGCAUGUUUAGUUUUUUUUAAUCCACCACCUUUGCAGGCUCGAGUUCCCCAUCAAAGCAUUCUCAGCAUUGUUUUUAAUUAAUCGUCACCUCAGCGCAGAUGUGGAAGAACUAUCUCCAUUGAACCUUACACAGUGUACGUAACUAUAAACCAUUGCAGUGCUAUUGUUUCACUACCCAUUGGAAGUAUUGCCCAGUUGAUAUACAAGCUGCAAUUAUAUGGCCUGAAUCUUUCAAGGCUGUAGAUGGUUGGUGACAUAAUGACGUGGUGAGGUGGGGAUUGCAGUUGUUCAUGGGGCAUUGUAACAUUCAUCAACCCACAUUUUUCUUAUUACGAGCUCUAAAUCUUGACUUGAAUAGUGUACAGUAUUUGCUUACAGAAGCAAAAUGAUACUGAGACAGAAUGAUAUGUUGGGGAUCUAUGAACUUGUCCUACAAAUAGCCCGGAUGAACAGACGUAAAUUUAAACCAAUCCCUCUCUGUAAUUUCUGAGGAAAAUAAUUGAUUCCGGAAUAGAGACUUUUCACAGUCUCAACGUAUUGUGUUUUGAA